rnacentral:rRNA from 1 species
AGUGAACGCUGGCGGUAGGCCUAACACAUGCAAGUCGAACGGCAGCACAGUAAGAGCUUGCUCUUACGGGUGGCGAGUGGCGGACGGGUGAGGAAUACAUCGGAAUCUACUUUUUCGUGGGGGAUAACGUAGGGAAACUUACGCUAAUACCGCAUACGACCUACGGGUGAAAGCAGAGGAUCUUCGGACCUUGCGCGAUUGAAUGAGCCGAUGUCGGAUUAGCUAGUUGGCGGGGUAAAGGCCCACCAAGGCGACGAUCCGUAGCUGGUCUGAGAGGAUGAUCAGCCACACUGGAACUGAGACACGGUCCAGACUCCUACGGGAGGCAGCAGUGGGGAAUAUUGGACAAUGGGCGCAAGCCUGAUCCAGCCAUACCGCGUGAGUGAAGAAGGCCUUCGGGUUGUAAAGCCCUUUUGUUGGGAAAGAAAAGCAGCAGGUUAAUACCCCGCUGUUCUGACGGUACCCAAAGAAUAAGCACCGGCUAACUUCGUG